AAAACGGAGAGUUUGAUCCUGGCUCAGGAUGAACGCUGGCGGUAUGCUUAACACAUGCAAGUCGAACGGGAUGCUUAGGCAUCUAGUGGCGGACGGGUGAGUAACGCGUGAGAAUCUGGCUCCAGGUCGGGGAUAACAGUUGGAAACGACUGCUAAUACC
rnacentral:rRNA from 1 species